AGCAGUGGGGAAUAUUGGACAAUGGGCGAAAGCCUGAUCCAGCCAUGCCGCGUGUGUGAAGAAGGUCUUCGGAUUGUAAAGCACUUUAAGUUGGGAGGAAGGGCAGUUACCUAAUACGUGAUUGUUUUGACGUUACCGACAGAAUAAGUACCGGCUAACUCUGUGCCAGCAGCCGCGGCAAUACAGAGGGUGCAAGCGUUAAUCGGAAUUACUGGGCGUAAAGCGCGCGUAGGUGGUUUGUUAAGUUGGAUGUGAAAUCCCCGGGCUCAACCUGGGAACUGCAUUCAAAACUGACUGACUAGAGUGUGGUAGAGGGUGGUGGAAUUUCCUGUGUAGCGGUGAAAUGCGUAGAUAUAGGAAGGAACACCAGUGGCGAAGGCGACCACCUGGACCAACACUGACACUGAGG
rnacentral:rRNA from 1 species